rnacentral:rRNA from 1 species
UACAGAGGUCCCAAGCGUUGUUCGGAUUCACUGGGCGUAAAGGGUGCGUAGGCGGUUGGGAAAGUCUGGCGUGAAAUCUCCGGGCCUAACCCGGAAACUGCGUUGGAAACUAUCCAGCUUGAGGGUUGGAGGGGGGACUGGAAUUCUCGGUGUAGCAGUGAAAUGCGUAGAUAUCGAGAGGAACACCAGUGGCGAAGGCGGGUCCCUGGACAACACCUGACGCUGAGGCACGAAAGCCGGGGGAGCAAACAGG